rnacentral:rRNA from 1 species
GACGAACGCUGGCGGCGUGCUUAACACAUGCAAGUCGAACGGAAAGGCCCUGCUUUUGUGGUGUGCUCGAGUGGCGAACGGGUGCGUAACACGUGAGUAACCUGCCCUUGACUUUCGGAUAACUUCACGAAACUGGGGCUACUACCGGAUAGGAGCUCCUGCUGCGUGGUGGGCGUUGGAAAGUUUCGGCGGUUGGGGAUGGACUCGCGGCUUAUCAGCUUGUUGGUUGGGUAGUGGCUUACCAAGGCUUUGACGGAUAGCCGGCCUGAGAGGGUGACCGGCCACAAUGGGACUGAGAGACGGCCCAGACUCCUACGGGAGGCAGCAGGGGGGAAUAUUGCACAAUGGGCGGAAGCCUGAUGCAGCAACGCCGCGGGCGGGAUGACGGCCUUCGGGUUGUAAACCGCUGUCGCCUGUGACGAAGCGUGAGUGACGGUAAUGGGUAAAGAAGCACCGGCUAACUACGUG